UACGUAGGGUGCAAGCGUUGUCCCGGAAUUAUUGGGCGUAAAGAGCUCGUAGGCGGUUUGUCGCGUCUGCUGUGAAAUCCCGAGGCUCAACCUCGGGUCUGCAGUGGGUACGGGCAGACUAGAGUGUGGUAGGGGGAGAUUGGAAUUCCUGGUGUAGCGGUGGAAAUGCGCAGAUAUCAGGAGGAACACCGAUGGCGAAGGCAGGUCUCUGGGCCGAAAUUGACGCUGAGGAGCGAAAGCGUGGGGAGCAAACAGG
rnacentral:rRNA from 1 species